rnacentral:rRNA from 1 species
UACGUAGGUGGCAAGCGUUGUCCGGAUUUAUUGGGUUUAAAGGGUGCGUAGGCGGCCCUGUAAGUCAGUUGUGAAAUACGGCAGCUUAACUGUCGAGGUGCAAUUGAUACUGCAGGGCUUGAGUACUGAUGAGGUAGGCGGAAUGGACGGUGUAGCGGUGAAAUGCUUAGAGAUCGUCCAGAACACCGAUAGCGAAGGCAGCUUACUAAGGAGUAACUGACGCUGAGGCACGAAAAGUGUGGGGGAUCAAACAGG